GCCAGGGUGGCGUAGUGGUUAGCACAGCUGCCUAGUGAGCAGUAGACCCGGGUUUGAAUCCUGGCCUUAGCA